rnacentral:rRNA from 1 species
AACGGGUGAGUAACACGUGGGCAAUCUGCCCUGCACUCUGGGACAAGCCCUGGAAACGGGGUCUAAUACCGGAUAAUACCUUCCCCCUCAUGGGGGUGGGUUGAAAGCUCCGGCGGUGCAGGAUGAGCCCGCGGCCUAUCAGCUUGUUGGUGGGGUGAUGGCCUACCAAGGCGACGACGGGUAGCCGGCCUGAGAGGGCGACCGGCCACACUGGGACUGAGACACGGCCCAGACUCCUACGGGAGGCAGCAGUGGGGAAUAUUGCACAAUGGGCGGAAGCCUGAUGCAGCGACGCCGCGUGAGGGAUGACGGCCUUCGGGUUGUAAACCUCUUUCAGCAGGGAAGAAGCGCAAGUGACGGUACCUGCAGAAGAAGCGCCGGCUAACUACGUGCCAGCAGCCGCGGUAAUACGUAGGGCGCAAGCGUUGUCCGGAAUUAUUGGGCGUAAAGAGCUCGUAGGCGGUUUGUCACGUCGGAUGUGAAAGCCCGGGGCUUAACCCCGGGUCUGCAUUCGAUACGGGCAGACUAGAGUGUGGUAGGGGAGAUCGGAAUUCCUGGUGUAGCGGUGAAAUGCGCAGAUAUCAGGAGGAACACCGGUGGCGAAGGCGGAUCUCUGGGCCAUUACUGACGCUGAGGAGCGA